AUUGAACGCUGGCGGCAGGCUUAACACAUGCAAGUCGAGCGAGCGGCGGACGGGUGAGUACUGUCUGGGAAACUGCCUGAUGGAGGGGGAUAACUACUGGAAAAGGUAGCUAAUACCGCAUACCAUAAGAUUUGACCAGAUGGGAUUAGCUCGUAGGGGGGGUAAUGGAUCACCUCGUCGACGAUCCCUAGCUGGUCUGACAGGAUGACCAGCCAAACUGGAACUGAGACACGGUCCAGACUCCUCCGGGAGGCAGCAGGGGGGAAUAUUGCACAAUGGGCGCAAGCCUGCUGUAGCCAUGCCGCUGGUGUGAAGAAGGCCUUCGGGUUGUAAAGCACUUUCAGCGAGGAGGCGUUACUCGCAGAAGAAGCACCGGCUAACUCCGUGCCAGCAGCCGCGGUAAUAC
rnacentral:rRNA from 1 species